rnacentral:rRNA from 1 species
UACGUAGGAUGCAAGCGUUGUUCGGAUUUAUUGGGCGUAAAGCGAGCGUAGGUGGCUAGUUAAGUCUGGUGUUAAAGCUAGGGGCUCAACCCCUGUGUUGCACUGGAAACUGGCUGGCUUGAGGAUGGUAGGGGAAGGUGGAAUUCCGAGUGUAGCGGUGAAAUGCGUAGAUAUUCGGAGGAACACCGGUGGCGAAAGCGACCUUCUGGGCCAUUUCUGACACUGAGGCUCGAAAGCGUGGGGAGCAAACGGG